rnacentral:rRNA from 1 species
GAUGAACGCUGGCGGCGCGCCUAACACAUGCAAGUCGAACGGCACCCCUCCUCGGAGGGAAGCGAGUGGCAAACGGCUGAGUAACACGUGGAGAACCUGCCCCCUCCCCCGGGAUAGCCGCCCGAAAGGACGGGUAAUACCGGAUACCCCGGGGUGCCGCAUGGCACCCCGGCUAAAGCCCCGACGGGAGGGGAUGGCUCCGCGGCCCAUCAGGUAGACGGCGGGGUGACGGCCCACCGUGCCGACAACGGGUAGCCGGGUUGAGAGACCGACCGGCCAGAUUGGGACUGAGACACGGCCCAGACUCCUACGGGAGGCAGCAGUGGGGAAUCUUGCGCAAUGGGGGGAACCCUGACGCAGCGACGCCGCGUGCGGGACGGAGGCCUUCGGGUCGUAAACCGCUUUCAGCAGGGAAGAGUCAAGACUGUACCUGCAGAAGAAGCCCCGGCUAACUACGUG